AGAGAGAUACUCAGUCUCAAAAAAACAAAAACAAAACAAGUCAGAGAGCCAGAAAAUAGGAAUUUUAGAGUAAGGAACUGGGGCAAUUACAUGCUCUGGCAGCGUUUAAGAAUCUGGGGGCCCCAAAGCCAGCCCUGGGCAUUUCUUGGGUAUCAUGUACCUCUCUGUGGGGGCAGUGCUUCAAAGCCUCCCACUCAGGAGAUCUUUGUCAGCAGUGUGAUGAGUGGGAAGAGAAAGGCGUACAGCAGUGUGCAUGCCAGGCCCCAUAUGCUUUUAAAAAGGGACUUUAUAGCUACGGACAGUCCUAUAAGAGAGCAGAAACUGAUUUCCUCCCUGUGGUAGGGAGAUUUUUCUUACCCUUUUGAACUGUUUCUUUUUUUAACCAUGAGGAGGUUACUUUCCAUCUAAAAAGUAAUAAUGUAAAAACCACAUGGGGGUGAAUGGUAUAGAGCCGAGAAGUGCCUGCUCCGGAGGCUGCAAGCUCGGGCUCCCGCAGCACAGCUGCUGCCCACUCUGCUGGAGGCCUCUUCUGGGUGCAUCUUCAUGAGUUACAAGAAGCACAUUACUUUGACCCCAAAGGGAACGCUACACUUCCUUAGAAAUUAAGAGUGUGUGCUACACUGCUUUACCAGAGCAAGGCCAAAAGCAGCUUCAAUUAUGGUACAACUGUGUGAAGACACAAUGCAAAACCACUCAAGAAUGCUCACUCAAAUGGAUUUUUACCAUGGAACUCGGAAACGGGACCCAGAAAGUUGUUUUCUCAAGUGGAUGGAACAACACAAGCAAUCAGUAUCCUGAAACAGGCCCUGUUCCAACAAACUGACCCAGAAAGCAAGUAUGAGGACUCCUGUUUCCCUACGUACUCACUACUACAGCAAAGAUAUCAAACAUUGAUACCCACCAAUCUCUGGAUGGAAAAACAAAUCUCAGGAAUCGCUUGCAGGAGGCUCUGCACGUUCCUCAGAUUCAGAGUCGCUGUCCUUUUGCCUGUGAAGCUCCUCACUUUCAGAGUCACUAGCAUUAAGAUUUAAGGGCUCAUCGUUCUCAGAGUCUGUCACAUGAUGUCCUUUGGGGAGGCCAUCUUCUCGAUCACUAGUUUCAUUCUGAAAAAUAAAGUGAGAAAAAAUUAGGAAAGUGCAAAAAAAAAAAAACCAUUAAU
rnacentral:lncRNA from 1 species